UACGGAGGAUCCAAGCGUUAUCCGGAUUUAUUGGGUUUAAAGGGUGCGUAGGCGGUUUAUUAAGUCAGGGGUGAAAGACGGCAGCUUAACUGUCGCAGUGCCUUUGAUACUGAUGAACUUGAAUGUACUAGAAGUAGGCGGAAUGUGACAAGUAGCGGUGAAAUGCAUAGAUAUGUCACAGAACACCGAUUGCGAAGGCAGCUUACUACGGUAUGAUUGACGCUGAGGCACGAAAGCGUGGGGAUCAAACAGG
rnacentral:rRNA from 1 species